ACUGCUCAUAACCGUAGUAUUAACCUAUGGAUGGGCAUAACCUCGGGAACUGAAUAAUACCCAUUGGACCACAGUGCCUGAAUGCUGUGGUUGAAAUGAUAUCGCCGAGAUAGACUGCGCUAUCACUUGUGGUGAGGUAAUGGCCCACCAAGGCUAUAACAGGUACGGCUCUGAGAGGAGGGGCCCGGAGAUGGGUACUGAGACACGGACCCAGGCCCUAUGGGGCGCAGCAGGCGAGAAACCUUUGCAAUGU
rnacentral:rRNA from 1 species